ensembl:lncRNA
UGCUGUUCUGCCUUAACAAACUUUUGUCAGCUCAGUGGAACAGUCUGUUAACGCUGUCCAAUUCGAUGGCCGAAACAAGUGGCUACACGACGGGGGGGAUGUCGCAGGACUCCACCCUCAUCCUGUCCAGAACUGAGGAGGCCCCCGCUCCCCAGCUGCGUCCCCAGCUGGCUCCCCAGCUGGCUCCGCAGCCCCCUCCUCAGCCUGCUCCCCCUCAACUACCCCCGGCUGAGGAGGGGGACGAGGAGGGAUAUUUGGGAGAUGAUGAGGGGGAUGAUUGAAUUAUUUUUUUAUGUUUGUUUUUGUAUAUAGUUGUGUGGUUUCGUUUAAAUAAUAAUAAAAUCGUUUUUAUUAUAAAA